rnacentral:rRNA from 1 species
AACGAACGCUGGCGGCAGGCUUAACACAUGCAAGUCGAGCGCCCCGCAAGGGGAGCGGCAGACGGGUGAGUAACACGUGGGGAUCUGCCCGAUGGUACGGAAUAGCUCCGGGAAACUGGAAUUAAUACCGUAUGUGCCCGCAAGGGGAAAGAUUUAUCGCCAUCGGAUGAACCCGCGUCGGAUUAGCUAGUUGGUGUGGUAAAGGCGCACCAAGGCGACGAUCCGUAGCUGGUCUGAGAGGAUGAUCAGCCACACUGGGACUGAGACACGGCCCAGACUCCUACGGGAGGCAGCAGUGGGGAAUAUUGGACAAUGGGCGCAAGCCUGAUCCAGCCAUGCCGCGUGAGUGAUGAAGGCCUUAGGGUUGUAAAGCUCUUUCGCCGACGAAGAUAAUGACGGUAGUCGGAGAAGAAGCCCCGGCUAACUUCGUGCCAGCAGCCGCGGUAACAC